CUGGGAUAAGCCGCCGAAAGGGGGUCUAAUACCGGAUAACACCUUUCUAUCGCAUGGUAGAAAGUUCAAAGACCGCUUGCGGUCGCCUGAAGAUGGGCCCGCGGCCUAUUAGCUAGUUGGUGAGAUAACAGCCCACCAAGGCUGCGAUGGGUAGCCGUCCUGAGAGGGUGAACGGCCACACUGGGACUGAGAUACGGCCCAGACUCCUACGGGAGGCAGCAGUAGGGAAUAUUGCGCAAUGCCCGAAAGGGUGACGCAGCGACGCCGCGUGGGUGAUGAAGCUUCUUGGAGCGUAAAGCCCUUUCAGAAGGGAAGAACCGCAUGGAGGUGAACCUCCGUGCCUGACGGUACCUUCAGGAGAAGCUCCGGCUAACUCCGUGCCAGCAGCCGCGGUAAUACGGAGGGAGCAAGCGUUGUUCGGAAUCACUGGGCGUAAAGGGCGCGUAGGCGGACCGGUGAGUCAGGUGUGAAAACCCGGGGCUUAACCCCGGGCCUGCACUUGAUACUAUCGGUCUUGAGUACGAGAGAGGAAAGCGGAAUUCCAGGUGUAGCGGUGAAAUGCGUAGAUCUCUGGGAGAACACCGGUGGCGAAGGCGGCUUUCUGGCUCGAUACUGACGCUGAUGCGCGAAGGCUAGGGGAGCAAACAGGAUUAGAUACCCUGGUAGUCCUAGCGGUAAACGAUGGGCACUAGGUGUUGGAGGACUUACCCCUUCAGUGCCGCAGCUAACGCAUUAAGUGCCCCGCCUGGGGAGUACGAUCGCAAGAUUGAAACUCAAAGGAAUUGACGGGGCCCCGCACAAGCAGUGGAGUAUGUGGUUUAAUUCGAUGCAACGCGAAGAACCUUACCUGGGCUUGACAUCAACUGGAAAGCCAUAGAGAUAUGGCCCCCUCUUCGGAGGUCGGUUGACAGGUGCUGCAUGGCUGUCGUCAGCUCGUGCCGUGAGGUGUUGGGUUAAGUCCCGCGACGAGCGCAACCCCUGUCCAUAGUUACCAGCGGUUCGGCCGGGCACUCUAUGGAGACUGCCUCGGUUAACGAGGAGGAAGGUGGGGAUGACGUCAAGUCCUCAUGGCCCUUACGUCCAGGGCUACACACGU
rnacentral:rRNA from 1 species